UUUGAGAGUAAAGCGUCAAAGCGUACAGUGGGGUACAGUGAUGGUCAGUGCCCGGUACAGUGGCGUACAGUGGGGUACAGUGCUGGUCAGUGCCCUGUACAGUGGCAUACAGUGGGGUACAUUGGAAGUCAGUAGGACUGUACAGUGGUGUACAGUGGGAUACAGUGCUGUUCAGUAGAAAUGUACAGUGGUGUACAGAGGGGUACAGUGGAAGUCAGUGAAAUGUACAGUGAGGUACAGUCAAUGUACAGUGGAUGUCAGACAAUGUCAGUCAAUUUUUAGGAACAUCAGUGGAUUUUGAAUUCAGUAGUGAAAAUGGGCCUGAAACCAUUCAAACCUAAAUUGUUCAAAGUUAGCGCGGUAGUACAAGAAGAGUACGAGUUGGACAAAAGUGCAACGGGAAAAAUCGAAACUAAAUAUCAAUACCGGUGAGGGUUUUAUGUCGAAAGAUCGACUAUCCGUUUGUUAAAUAAUUUGAAAAUAAAUCAUCUUAUUUUAAUCGUAAACAGCUUUCAGUAUAUAUCUGUACAUACUGAGACCGUUUUUUUGAUUGAUGGAGCAUGUCAGAACAAACGGUUUUAUGAAACAAAAAUGAAAUCCGUGCACUUCAUUUCAGCCCAGAUACACCAUAUACUGGUAUACUUUUAACUGUUUUGAAAAACCGAAACCCGUUGUUUCCAAAUUAACAGCUAGACGAGUCGGGAUAUAUGAAUAUGAUCUUUAGGAUAGGGGUUGAUGGUGAUGAAAUAAGAUACUGGGAUGGUGAGAGUGUUCUAGCUUAACGGUUAAUGAAUCUGCCCCAAGUUGCCGUUCCCAUAACUUUUGGUUGAAUUUUUAAAAUGAAUACGCAUACCUCUCACUGAAUCCAUAUAUAUGGCGAAAAUUGUCAGACCUUUUCACACGUUCCCUCUUUAUACACAGAGAAAUUCACGAAGGAACGAACAUACGUUAUUUAGGGGAGUUAUCAAUUCGAAAAUUUUCGAAACUGCCCGCACAAUUUGUCAUCAUUAUCAUCCGGGUCCUUUGCAUGUCAUUUGCAAUACAAUAUCCCUGUAGAAUUUUAUUUAUGAUUUUAAGUUGCAUGAAACAAGGACACUCAAAACAGAAAAACUAUGGUGUUCUGUAAUAGCAACUCGCACCUUCGCCUUCAAGGCGAAGAUGCAAGAUUGCAAAGGUUCGAAUGCGAAAGUGUAAAGGUGCAAGGGCGAAGGUUCGAAGUGAGAUGGAUACUCCUAUCGCUUCUUCGCCUUUGCAACUUCAUAAUCUGGUUUUCGCACUCUCACAUUCGUCUUUUUCCUUUCGCUUAGUCGAUUACUUAUAGUUCGAUGCAGGUAUCGUACUCGCCCGAGGUUUGUCGAAAGCUCUCGAAUGUUACCGGUACGCGCUAGACAGUGUGCUGAAUAUGUUUCUUUUGAUUUGCAAGAUACCGAAAUCCAAUAUUUGGCUCUAUUAGGGUGCAUUGCAAAUACCAGUUUUGCCCAAAUUACAUUUGAAAAGUGGAAAAAAAUUAUAAUUUGUGUAUCGAAAUUCGUAUUUUUAUUGUGGGAUCAUUUUGUAAUUGAUUGUAGAAAAAUCUAAAAUAAUACUGUUUUCUCCUGAACUGAUUGUAAAUAUGUUUGCAUUUAUAUUUAUUUUUCUCUUACUGUUUUUUGUUAUUUAGUUUCAUGUUAAACAUCAUAAUACUCUCCAAUAAUGUGGAGGAAAUAAAGAAUAUCUUAUCUU
rnacentral:sRNA from 1 species